rnacentral:misc_RNA from 1 species
ACGAGGUCCGACCGUAGAGGUUUAC